UUUCUUUAAAUAAUUAUAUUUUAAUAUAUAAUUAUAUUGUUAGUUUACUAACUAUAACGAUAAACGAAUUUCGAAAUAACCAUUUCGGACGUGGGGGCAGUACCCACCAUCUCCACCACUACUAUAUGGGGGUGAACUAGAUUCGACGGGUGACUAAAAGUUAUUCUUUCGUUCGGAAUUGUUCCUCCGAAAAGGGCUUAUUUAUAAUUGCUAACGAAAGUUAUGCACUUGCUGCUUAGUUAAUUUUUAAUUAAGUAACGGGGUCUGGGGCACCUGGCAACAGAACGCUCCUUU
rnacentral:tmRNA from 1 species